CAAGUAAACCGGGUAGCCGCCCUGUAAAUCGGGGAGGAAAGUCCGAGCUCCACCGGGCAGGAUGCUGGGUAACGCCCAGGAGGGGUGACCCUACGGAGAGUGCCACAGAAACAUACCGCCCUGCGUCAGCGGGGUAAGGGUGAAAUGGUGGGGUAAGAGCCCACCAGCGACCGGGUGACCGGUCGGCUGGGUAAACCCCAUCCGGAGCAAGGCCGAAUAGAGGGACAUAAGGACGCCCGGCCUGUCCCCGGGUUGGCCGCAUGACCCUGGUGGUAACAUCAGGGCUAGAUAGAUGGCUACCGUCCUUCCCGCAAGGGAAGGAUACAGAACUCGGCUUACAGGUUUGCUUGAUCC
rnacentral:RNase_P_RNA from 1 species